rnacentral:rRNA from 1 species
CACGGGGGGAGCAAGCGUUGUUCGGAUUUACUGGGCGUAAAGGGCGGGUAGGCGGCCACUGCAAGUCGGUUGUGAAAUCUCCGGGCUUAACUCGGAAAGGUCAAUCGAUACUGCAGGGCUAGAGUGCAGAAGGGGCAACUGGAAUUCUCGGUGUAGCGGUGAAAUGCGUAGAUAUCGAGAGGAACACCUGCGGCGAAGGCGGGUUGCUGGGCUGACACUGACGCUGAACUGCGAAAGCUAGGGGGAGCGAACGGG